rnacentral:rRNA from 1 species
UACGGGGGGAGCAAGCGUUGUUCGGAUUUACUGGGCGUAAAGGGCGCGUAGGCGGCGCAACAAGUCACUUGUGAAAUCUCCGGGCUUAACCCGGAGCGGUCAAGUGAUACUGUCGUGCUAGAGUGCGGAAGGGGCUACUGGAAUUCUCGGUGUAGCGGUGAAAUGCGUAGAUAUCGAGAGGAACACCUGCGGCGAAGGCGGGUAGCCUG